rnacentral:rRNA from 1 species
CUUACACAUGCAAGUCGAACGAGAAAUUUUCCGCUUGCGGAAAAGAGUAAAGUGGCGCACGGGUGAGUAACGCGUGGAUAAUCUACCUUCGAAUUCGGAACAACAUUGCGAAAGCGAUGCUAAUACCGGAUGAUAUUUCAUUUUCCUCGGAAAAUGAGAUCAAAGACGGCCUCUGCUUGCAAGCUGUUGUUUGAAGAUGAGUCCGCGUACCAUUAGCUAGUUGGUGAGGUAACGGCUCACCAAGGCCGCGAUGGUUAGCUGGUCUGAGAGGAUGAUCAGCCACACUGGAACUGACACACGGUCCAGACUCCUACGGGAGGCAGCAGUGAGGAAUUUUGCGCAACGGGGGAAACCCUGACGCAGCAACGCCGCGUGAGUGAUGAAGGCCUUUGGGUCGUAAAGCUCUGUCAAGUGGGAAGAAAUUGUAAAUGGUUAAUACCCAUUUAUAUUGACGGUACCACUGAAGGAAGCACCGGCUAACUCCGUGCCAGCAGCCGCGGUAAUACGGGGGGUGCAAGCGUUAUUCGGAAUUAUUGGGCGUAAAGCGCGCGUAGGCGGUUUCGUAGGUCAGAUGUGAAAUCCCGGGGCUCAACCCCGGAAGUGCAUUUGAAACCCCGAGACUUGAGUAUGGGAGAGGGAAGUGGAAUUCCAGGUGUAGAGGUGAAAUUCGUAGAUAUCUGGAGGAACACCGGUGGCGAAGGCGACUUCCUGGACCAAUACUGACGCUGAGGUGCGAAGGCGUGGGGAGCGAGCAGGAUUAGAUACCCUGGUAGUCCACGCAGUAAACGUUGUUCACUAGGUGUAGCGGGUAUUGACUCCCGCUGUGCCCGCAGCUAACGCAUUAAGUGAACCGCCUGGGGAGUACGAUCGCAAGAUUAAAACUCAAAGAAAUUGACGGGGGCCCGCACAAGCGGUGGAGCAUGUGGUUUAAUUCGACGCAACGCGCAGAACCUUACCUGGAUUUGACAUCCCGGGAAGUUCCUGGAAACAGGAGUGUGCCCUUCGGGGAACCCGGUGACAGGU